UGACAAGGAAUAAAUUAAACUGAUCGCAACACUAAUUGCAGUAAUCGAUAGCCGAUAUAUUGCACGAUAUACGAUAUGCGAUAUGCGAUAUACGCUACGAUUCGUGCCUAUUUGGGCUUCAUUAAUUAUUUCGAUGUCGUAAACUGUGUGUGGCGAGCGCUGCUCAUGUUAAAUCAAUUAAUUGCCAUUCGAUUUGGCUGAUGUGGCAAAUUUUUGCGCGUUGUUGUCAAUCUUUUGGGUGCCGGUGCCCAUGAGAGACUUUUAUCUGUAUCUGUAUCUGUAUCUGUAUCUGUGGCUGUGGCAGUCGAUGGCAACGGCAUGCUGGAAAUGGGUUUUAGUUUGGCCGUCAAGGCGAAAACCUGCUACAACAACAACAACAACAACAGCAACAACAAUCACAAUGACAACAUGAAGAACAGUUUUGUACCAUGAGUUCGAGGGCUACUAUUAUCCACAGCCCAGCGCCAGCAGCACCACGCGCAUUCCCGCGACAACAACAACAACGCCACG
rnacentral:misc_RNA from 1 species